rnacentral:sRNA from 1 species
AGGGAUCAUUACUGAGUUACCGCUCUAUAACCCUUUGUGAACAUACCUAACCGUUGCUUCGGCGGGCAGGGGAAGCCUCUCGCGGGCCUCCCCUCCCGGCGCCGGCCCCCACCACGGGGACGGGGCGCCCGCCGGAGGAAACCAAACUCUAUUUACACGACGUCUCUUCUGAGUGGCACAAGCAAAUAAUUAAAACUUUUAACAACGGAUCUCUUGGUUCUGGCAUCGAUGAAGAACGCAGCGAAAUGCGAUAAGUAAUGUGAAUUGCAGAAUUCAGUGAAUCAUCGAAUCUUUGAACGCACAUUGCGCUCGCCAGCAUUCUGGCGAGCAUGCCUGUUCGAGCGUCAUUUCAACCCUCAAGCACCGCUUGGUUUUGGGGCCCCACGGCACACGUGGGCCCUUAAAGGUAGUGGCGGACCCUCCCGGAGCCUCCUUUGCGUAGUAACUAACGUCUCGCACUGGGAUUCGGAGGGACUCUUGCCGUAAAACCCCCAAAUUUUUUACAGGUUGACCUCGGAUCAGGUAGGAAUACCCGCUGAA